CUUCCAAUCAGUAUUCGCUCAUUUCUCUAGGGCUUACGCGCGCCGGCUCGUGCAUAACAUUCAGCUUCCAUUGAUUUGAUCAGAGCAUACCUAAAAAAACAUGACGAAGAAGAUCGUGUUGAAGGUUCAGAUGAAGUGCCAGAAAUGCAGAACCAAGGCUCUUCAGACCAUCACCGAAGCAGAUGGUGUAAACUCAGCGGCCUUUGAAGGAGAAGACAAGGUGGUGGUAGUUGGGGGAGUUGACGCAGUGCCUCUGGUCAACCGUCUAAGAAAGAAAGUCGGUCCGACUCAGAUUAUUAGCCUCGGAGAAGGGAAGUAACACCCGUGAAAAGAAAAUACUCACAUGAAGAAAAUGACAUGACUCAGAUUUUUCUUUUCUGUUCUUUUCCUAUUUUGAGAGAGAGAGAGAUUGUCAAGUUUCAUUAGGAGGCUGCUGAAAUUUUUUUGUAUUACUUUUCUUGGCUCUUUUUACAAUUAUGAUUCGACAUGAAUAACAAUAUCAAAUAUGUUAAUAUAUUUAGUGAGAUUUUACAUAUACAGUCUUUUUUUUUA